rnacentral:rRNA from 1 species
GACGAACGCUGGCGGCGUGCUUAACACAUGCAAGUCGAACGGAAAGGCCCUGCUUUUGUGGGGUGCUCGAGUGGCGAACGGGUGAGUAACACGUGAGUAACCUGCCCUUGACUUUGGGAUAACUUCAGGAAACUGGGGCUAAUACCGGAUAGGAGCUCCUGCUGCAUGGUGGGGGUUGGAAAGUUUCGGCGGUUGGGGAUGGACUCGCGGCUUAUCAGCUUGUUGGUGGGGUAGUGGCUUACCAAGGCUUUGACGGGUAGCCGGCCUGAGAGGGUGACCGGCCACAUGGGGACUGAGAUACGGACCAGACUGCUACGGGAGGCAGCAGUGGGGAAUAUUGCACAAUGGGCGGAAGCCUGAGGCAGCAACGCCGCGUGCGGGAUGACGGCCUUCGGGUUGUAAACCGCUUUCGCCUGUGACGAAGCGUGAGUGACGGUAAUGGGUAAAGAAGCACCGGCUAACUACGUG